ensembl:lncRNA
CUUCAAGGAGUGCCCAAGCACUUCCCCAGUGUUUCCUCAGAUCAAAUAUGAUGACAUUGCACAUUGCACUGUUCUAGUCAGAACAGGCCUUGCACACACGUUUUCCCCCAGCACAUUUUCUGGCUGGCGCCACAAUGCCUUCAUGGUUGUUUUCCUUACAAAUUGGACUUUGGACGUGUGAGUUCCUAUCAAAGUGGAGAAGGAAGUAACAUCACCAGAAAGCAGCAAGCUGCCAGACCACCAAAGGACCCUGGAGCCACUGCAUGCUGUGACAAGGGCCUGGAUGGUGAUACAUCUGUUUCAAGCUGCCUGCCUGAAUACUGAGGCCUUCAGCGAUACCUUCCCUUUGAUUACAGAAAGAAUAUCUUAACCUCUGUCUCAUAGCCAUUUAACAUGUAAUGUAUGUAACCACUCAAAUUCAGAGAAACAUCUACAAACACAAGAACUGACUUAUAUUCACUUGUCCCUGGCUGCGUUUGGACAGGCAGCCCAAUUUGGAUAUUGUGACCAAUCACAGCAGAUCUUUUCACAUCAGCUAUUUUUCAGAGCUGAUGUCAUUGGUCAAAAGACCAUUUUGUGGGAAAAACUCAGACUUGGGCUGCCUAUUUUAACACAGCCUAUUUGUCCUAUUCUUCAGUCUUCUCUGGGAUAAAUAUUUUACACAAGCACACAUUUGUGAUGUCCUUCAUACAUUAAUAAACAUUUAUUCACCCUGAA